CGACGUAUUGGGUACCUCUGGUGUAGAGUGUUGGAUCGGGCAACGUGGCAGCAUUGACCAGCUCCCUGUCCUGACAUCCAUGGACUUUAUUUUAUGGGUGUAGUAAAGGAGAAGGUUUUUGAGAGGAAGCCCCACAUAGUGAAGAAAUUGAAGUAGUUCAUCUCGCGUGCAUUUGUCGGCACUGAUGCUAACUUUCGUGUGCUAAAGUGUGUCACAGUGCCAAGGACAGGCUGCAGUAAUGUAUCAACGCUGACGGAGGACAUUUCUAAUGCCUAAGAGUCUAAACCUGACCCACCUUACUCCUGUGCGAGGACUUAACAAGGCAGAGGGCAGACCUGCUAAGAUCCCUUCACCCACGGAUUAAGCUGCUUGACAGACACUUUGCUCUUCCUUAAAAUAAGAUCAGUGGUAGCUGCUUCUUGCCGCUGCACAAGCACUUCAUCCUAGUAGCUUUUCUAUAUUGGCAUUAUAGAAAUUAUGGCUUAAUACCAUUUAAGGUCUGAAUGGAUGAGGUGGGUGCAGGUGCCUUGUUGUCCCCCUCCAGCAUCUAGCAGUGCUUUUCAAAUAUGAAGAACAUAUUUUUUAAAGUCUAAAAAUAGGCCUAACUGACCUCGUUGGUGGACCCUAAGCCCCCCCACAGGACCUGAGCUUGCAGUUAAUAUCAUUCGCACAUUUCCUGGUUAUUCACAAGCAAGAUGGGGUCUGUGAGGCGUUCUGGCCUCAGCCCGGCUUUGACAGGAAAUUACUUGGGGAUUCCAAUUAGUAUGCAAAUGGAAUAAAUAUUUAACAAGAAAGCAAACGGGUUGCAUUGGAUUAAUGCUGGCCAGGAAAGUAUUCCCAAAGGUUAUAACUAUUCCAGGAAGAGUAAUGCUUCUGAUAGGUCAGUGGGGGCUGGGGUAUUCGAGUAUUCUGACAAAAUAACAACUCAUUGUAGAAUAAUUUACUCUGAGUGACUAUGCAUUAAAACCCAAAUAUGUUCUCAA